UACGUAGGGGGCUAGCGUUGUCCGGAAUCAUUGGGCGUAAAGCGCACGUAGGCGGCCUGUUAAGUCGGGUGUGAAAGCCCUCGGCUCAACCGAGGAAGUGCAUUCGAAACUGGCAGGCUUGAGUAUGGAAGAGGGUCGCGGAAUUCCCGGUGUAGAGGUGAAAUUCGUAGAUAUCGGGAAGAACACCGGUGGCGAAGGCGCCUUCCUGGACGAUAACUGACGCUGAGACGCGAAAGCGUGGGGAGCAAACAGG
rnacentral:rRNA from 1 species